ensembl:lncRNA
AGAAUGUCUUCUAAUAACGUGAAUGAGUAAUAACUAUACAGAGAGCUCGAUGGUUUGACAGUUUCCCACAUCAAAGGGAGAUACGUGUUGAUACGUGUUGAUGUUUGGUUUCAUGCAGCAUGCAAUUAAACAAAGGUUUGUAGAGAUGAAAAAUUUUACUCUUUAAAAACAAAGAUGAUCACAGUAUGGUUGAUCAGAAAUAUGGCACAAGAAAAAGGUAUUCAAACUUCUGUGUGUAGUGCAUGGGUAAAUUGCAAAAAUGACUCAAGCAUAAAGAUCAGUGGGCCAGCACUAGAUUUAAAAAAUAUAUUUUUUAAAGCAUUUACUUUUUUGUUUUGUUUGCCAGUCCAAAAACAGAACAUGUGACAUUUCUGCAGCACUAAAGCUCUGUCCUUUGGCUCAGUUUGCAGCUUGAGGUUCAGUUUAGCAGCUCAUAUUGACACGAUCUACACCCCCAUCCUCAGGGCACGAGGGCUCGCAGAAUGGUUUUAUGAGGAUGAAAAUGCUGUAGAUCAUAUGCUGUGGCCUUAAUAAUGAGCAGAUUUUAACCCCAUUAAACACCUUUGUGAGAUUUUGGAGCGACAUGUUAGAUGGCGUUCCCACACAUCAUUUAAAACACCAGUUGAUCUUUUGGUAGAUGUUUUAUACUGUUUAUACUUCCACAAUUGUUUAUAUUAUCUAAUAUACUGUUAUUAAUAUGAUUGUGCUGUACAAGCUUUCUACUCUGUAAAACGUAGCUUUAUGCAGCCUUAAUCCCAAACUUGAUUAAUCUCUUUUAAUCUUGGACAUUCAUUCUUCAUGCAGGUUGACCAGUUUUCAGAAUAAUCCAAGUGACCACGUUAGUUAUGGUGGAGCUGAAUGUGCCAAUAUACUGGUUAAAAAUGAAAGGCUCAUAAUAUCCCUUUGAAUGAAACUCUCUUCCCAUGCAGGAGUUCUUCUGUGCUAUCAAGUCUUGGGAAGAAUUAGAGAAGCCUCAGCAUUGAUUUGGUACAGGGCCAGCAGGUCUACUGUUAAUGUCUCUUUUGGUAACGAAACCACAAAACUUUGGUUUCUUGUUGAUUGACCCAUCUGCCACAGCACAGCUUUCUGUUCAUGUGCCUACACGCACAGUGACACAAUUACAGACUCUGCUGAUGUUAGAAGCAGGUUUGCAGAUUUAGAAGAUUGGUCAGAUACAUGUGUUUUGGUAAAUUCACCUGUGCCUGUUCAAGUACAUUGCUGGUUCUUGGGAAACUCAGAGAUUGUGAUGCUGUAAGACCCUUAAUGAGAAUUUGAAAAAGCCUCCAGUUCUUGCAACUGAAAAACAACAUAAUCUCAGCACAGACUGUGACAGCUUUUGUCAUUCUGUAACAACACAUUGAUAUCAGUGACUGUGUCAUGGUUGUUGGUGCCAAUGGUUUGAGUAAUUCAGAAACAGUCUCUAGAAUAUGGG